rnacentral:rRNA from 1 species
UACCAGCACCCCGAGUGGUCGGGACGAUUAUUGGGCCUAAAGCAUCCGUAGCCGGUUUUACAAGUCCUCCGUUAAAUCCAACUGCUUAACAGAUGGGCCGCGGAGGAUACUAUAAGACUAGGAGGCAGGAGAGGCAAGCGGUACUCAGUGGGUAGGGGUAAAAUCCUCUGAUCCAUUGAAGACCACCAGUGGCGAAGGCGGCUUGCCAAUACGCGCUCGACGGUGAGGGAUGAAAGCUGGGGGAGCAAACCGG